UACAUUCCCCUUGUAUGCGCUGUGUC
rnacentral:piRNA from 1 species